GACAUAAAGAACGUCUGAUAGCUGUGGAAAGAUGUCAUUGUUCCAGGUUGAUUGCUCAAAGGCGAUCAGAGUUUCUAUCGCAAGCUAGUGAAGAAUUAACACCUGUGGAUCAUUUGGUUAAUAAAAGAGAAAGCUGACCAACAGUCAGUGUGGAAGUAACUACCCCUCAAUCUUGCCUUGAUUCUGGAUUCCUGCCUUCCUUAUUUUAUCCUAGACCUGUGGAUGGAACUCUUGGCUUUCUGACUUGAAUCAGAACCUUGAGCAGCAGCUGCAAGUGCUAUUGGGCUUGAAUUGCCAGCAAUCCAUGAGCACUUCAACACAGGACAGGUGAAGAUUCAAUAGGGAGACUUGUGGAUGUGACAAGCUGCCCCCCCCCUUCUGCUCAGUCUGAGGUUCCAGCCCUCUUCUUGAAGUGGAGCAAAGCACCCAGCCAGCCCUUCCAAGUUCCACCUACAACACCAUCCCACUUAGACAGAUGCCAUGCCAGGGAUCCUCAGUCCUCUUCCUCCUGGCCUCAGGGAAGAAGCAAAUAGUCUUCACACCUUGCCAUGGUUUGCAGUUCAAUAAAGUCAGUGUUCUGUCACAA